UCAUGAGGUAAUUAAUAUAGUUAGUUAUGGUAAUGUAUUUAUUAAGGUAAAUGGUUUGCCAAGUUUCGAUUAUUCUUAUGUUUGCUUGUUCUUUAGGUCUCUUCAGUUCGAUGAUUUUAGUUCGGAUAGUCAUAUUGGGUGGUUGGAUUCACAAUCAAUAAGUGGUGCUAGUUGCAUGAAUAAUCGAGCCGAAGUCAGUCAAUAUCUCGAUGACGGUAUCCGUCAAUGCACAAAAGCGAAAAACAAGUUCAUAUUAGCCCCGUACUUUGAAGACCUCCAUUGGAUGCUCCUUGUGAUAUGUGUUUCAAGCCACACAAUUUAUCAAUUUGAUUCUUGUCGUCGAGAUCCAUUACGAUCCGUGUUGGUCAAGUCACUAUUGAAUAAAGUGUUGAUGAAAAUGAAUGUCAAAAAAAGCGCACUUCCUCAAUGGAAAUCAGUUAAG